UAUAGGCAGCAUUUUUUUUCAAAGAAAAUGUAGUUCUCCCCUUUUAAAAUCUCUGGUAUCUCGAUCCAUGGCAAAAGAGAGUUUAUAUCCACCAGAAUGGAGUUCCUUCAGACUCUCAUCUCCAAAGAGCCUAACAGCAGUCGAGCCAUUGAAAAGCUGCAGUCAGAGCACACCAGCAGACAACAGCACAUGGAAGACCUAGAGGCAAGGCUAGAGCAAAUACAAGGUCAACUUCAAACCAAGUUAAAAGCUCUAGAUGCUAUUCAGGACAAAAAUGCUUCUCUGCUAGAAGAAAUCUCUACACUGAGAAACAGCUUUGGAUAUUUUAAUGGAAUUGAGGCUGCACGCUGUCAGUUGCCCUCUGCUCCACCCCAGUUCCAGCAUACCUCAGAGAACAAAGCCAACGUCUCAGCCAAGCCUUCAGAGAAAGUCCUGUAUUCACGCUUUAUGCCGUCAACUUCAACAGUUAGCCUGUUACCAGGAAAAUCAUCAUCAAGAAUGGUCCGGUUCCCUAUAUCCUCCUCACUUCUGACACGAGAUAAAAAAAUUGCCCCCAGCAGCAGCAGCUUUUUGCUACAAAAACAAUUCCCUCCUUGCUCCAGCAUUUCCAGCUUUGGGAGUGAUGCACUUGGACAAGGUCAGGACUACAUCAAAUCUUUAUUUGCUGAUUCCAAGAAGACUACCCUGGAACCAAGGGACAAAGCAAGGAAGAUGCACGUUCCACCGGAAUACUACAACUCUUCAGCAUCCAGUGCGGUUGGGAACCUUAAAAUUGUUGAAGUUCAUUCGCAUGGCUAUUAUGUGAAGAUACUGAACAGUUCUCCUGAUAAAGAAGAGGGCAUUGGAGAUUAUACACUCCAGCAGAACUUUGGCGGCCAUCCAAUAGCGAUCUUCAAAUUCCCCCCAAAGAUCAGAAUGAAGGCUAAUUCUUCAGUAAUGGUCUGGGCUGCAGAUUCUAAAAGACCUUCAAAACCUCCAACAGAUUAUCUCUGGAAGGACCUGGACAAGUUUAAACCAGGCCCAGAAUGCACCACUAUCCUUUGCAAUCCUUCUGGCCAGGCUGUCGCUUGGUUUACACCCAUCAAUUGGAACCAAAAGCAAACAAAGGAAGGAGAAGAGGGUGGCAGAAUCUAUAGAAAUUUAAUACAGCCUAUUAUUGGCAUGCGCCAGCAAAAAGACCGAUGGCAACCCAGGAUGUUUGACGUUUGGCAGGGAAAUGUUGGUCAAAAUCUUACAGGGACAAAUGAACCAGAAUUUAUUCUACGGGAAGAAAAGAUCCGACCCAUCCUGUACCCCGUGCAAAGUUCUUGGUGCCAAAACCCAAGCUCUCCAACACAUCCCCAUUACACUGUGGGAAGAUACAUCCCGGCGGGCAUUGAGGGGAGCCACGUGGGCAGACAAAUGAGAACUCAGCUGGUAAAGCAGGAUCCAGAUACCGGCCUUCUCUGCCCAGGAAGUAGUCAUAGCAUAAAGCCAGCAGAAGACAGUAACAGGAAAAACAGAAUAAGACCAACUCGUUCAGCAGGAAGACUGGUAAGGAAUAACCCCCAAGGUGACCUGAAUUGAGCCCUAUAACAGCUAUUGCUGCUCCUCUGGACAGGAAUUGCUGGGCAAAGGGACCAAUUCAAGAGAAAGAAUUGAAGUGAACAGAAAGCGGUAAAUCCUGCUGCCAAGGCUAAGUGUGAAAACCAGGAAGCUCCCAGUUGAAAUGUCAUUAAUUAGUCACCAUUUCAGUUCCACCACCAACAGCAACACAGACAAACUGAAAUAAAAAGAUAGAAAAAAAGAACUGGAUUUCCAUUUUGGAAUUUGGAGCAGGCCCACACAAAACCAGUCAAAUGGUCCUAUGUGGUAGAAGGUUGAACCUCAGCAAUAACCUCAUCUAUACGAAGGCCCUUUGGAAGGGUAACUCAUACCUUGAUAGUCCUCUUGUUCCUGCCGUUCAUUGAUAUCCAAUGUCAAUUUUUUCAUUCUCAUCCUCUCCUCUUGCUCAGCUUGUUGUUGAUUCCAGUGAUUUGCAGCCAAUUGAGACGACAUUGGCACAUUUAGGAUCUUAAACUGAAGACAGACAAGACACCUCUGAGAACUUGUGCUUAUUCUUUUAUUGCUUGCAUAUUGCAUUAGAUUUUUAUUCUGGCUGCAUUUUUAAACUUAUUGUAGUUUUUUAUUGUACCAUUGUAUAGUUAUGGGGAAGAUUUUUUGUACAAUUUCUUUUAUGUGGUGUCUUAUAUGUAAGCUCAAUGAAAGGAACAAAUGUAUGACUCAACAUGUUCUAGAUGGAAGAAAAGUGCACAAAUGUUGCUGGUUUUUAUUUGCACCAAUACUUGCAACUCUGUAAGUCCAAACUAUUUCCAGAAGUGGGUUUUGAAUGAAAAGUGGAAUGUCAGUCAGGUUAAAGAUGACAAAACACUGAGCUAAUCCUACAGAUUUCAACAGAACAGAACUUCUAAAGUGAAAAAGGUGAAUACUUAGGAAAGAAAUGUGCCAUUAGCUACAGAACUUUGCUACUUUAAAGUAUUUCGUAUAUUAUCAUGCCAAUCAUUCACACAGAGCUUCAGAAUGCACUCAGAGCCUUUCACAUACAUUCAUUUGUUCUAUUCCUUACAACUAUCCUGCAAGGUAGAUCAUUACGAUUCCCAUAUUGCAGAUGGAUGGCCCAGGAGAGACAGUGGCGCCCCCAGGGCCAUCUAGCAAGAUCACAGGAGAGGAAAGAUUUGAAGUAGAUGCUUCACAAUUCAUAGUUUUUGGUUUCAGCUCCCAUGUUAACAUCAGCUCUUGAUCCAGUCUAACAUGCGACUACUGCUGUGCUAUAAUGGCUGUAAUAUAAUUAAGCUAAGUGAUAUCAUUUAAAAGUGAAAAUAUUCUGGGACUACAUUAUUCUAUUUUAAGAGCAAUUUCACCAUUUUCAUGAAUCACAGCUAGAUAAAAAAUAUUCAAACAUA